rnacentral:lncRNA from 1 species
AUCAUAAAUAAUUUGAGAAGACAGAUAAUAAGGAAACUAGUUAUGAAACAAUUAAAAUAAUCCAACAGAAAAGAAUGAACAUGGUGACAGUGAGACCGGAAAAUUAUGACAGCAAAACCACUCACUUAUGAAUUGAUAGCAGCAUCAGAAUAUGCUUUCUUACUCAUAUGGUGUAAAAACUUUCACCACCCCCCCAACCAUCUCUCCCACCUUGAACAAAAUGAUAAUUAUUUCUAACUUAUUCUGACAAUUUGAAAAAGAGGAUCUACUAGGCCACGCAUGGUGGCUCACGCCUGCAAUCACAGCACUUUGGGAGGCUGAGGCAGGCAGAUCACCUGAGGUCAGGAGUUCAAGAACAGGCUGGCCACCAUGGUGAAAACCUGUCUCUACUAAAAGUACAAAAUUAGCCAGGCAUGGUGGCACACGCCUGUAAUCCCAGCUACUCAGGAGGCUGAGGCGGGAGAAUUGCUUGAAACAGGGAGGCAGAGAUUGCAAUAAGCCGAGAUCACGCCACUGCACUCCAGCCUGGGUGAAGAGUAAAACUCC